CUUAAAAUAGUUGUAAUAAAAUUUUACGGUAAUAAACUCGCGUCUUUAUUAGCUAAAUCCAAAACCAAGGCUGUGGGAGAGAAAACAGAUCAAAAUAAAGUGGAGGGAAGGAAACAGAGAAAUGUGAUGAUAUUUAUAUAGUUUUUAGAGCAAACUCACCGAAUUUUUGCACGCAAUAAGUUACGAAAAGGUUCAAAUACACCAUGUUUUCAUUCACAACAAAAGAAAAUGACAAUAAAGUAAACUCUCACUUCAGUUUUUCAUGCAGAGUAACGGACGGCUGAAAAUGCCCGUAAACUUAAAUAAAUAAUUACUUGUAAAAAAAAAAAACGUAGCAUUUUAAACUUGUCAAUUUAAGACGUAACAGUACUGCUAAAAAUUUUAACACAAAAAAUUGUAAUGAUUGGGUAAUACUAAAGAUAAACUCUACUUGUAAUAACUAAUUAUUGCCACAUGUCUUAUUUCCUCAGUGUGUGUUGUGUAUGAUUUUUUGCCAUUUGCAAAUGUGAGACGCAUAGCAAUUAACAAGUCGUGUUAGUUUGUGUACUAGUUUACAGAUUUGGCAUGACUUUAUUCCCCUAUAAUAAAAGGUGGGGAGCAGUUGUAAUAUGGCAGAGCACCUGCCUCAAACGCACUCUUAAUGUUCAAACAUAAACUUAGUUAUCAGGUUGUUUGAAUUGCUUGAUUCAAAUCUUUAUUUUUAAAGCUGUUUUUUUUUUUUACAAAUGGUUGAAAGGACCCUAAAGUUUUCAAUAAACGCAAAGAAAAAUAAUGGAAAAAAUUGUUGAUCACUUCAAGGAAAUUUUCCUCUAAUUUUUCGUAACAUUGACUUUUAUUUUAUUGCUCGAAUGUGAGUUUGUAUUUGACACGCAAGAUUAGAUUAUACUAAAUAUUAUGAUCGGGCUGGAUUAAAUUGGAUUAUAUAAUAUUAUCUUAUAUUUGGUGCAAUAUUAGAUUGGACAAUACUAAAUUAUAUUUAAU
rnacentral:lncRNA from 1 species